AAUCAACGCUGGCGGCGUGCCUAACACAUGCAAGUCGAACGCGAAAGCCCCUUCGGGGGCAAGUAGAGUGGCGCCCGGGUGAGUAACACGUGGGUAAUCUACCUCCGGGUGGGGAAUAACUCGCCGAAAGGCGGGCUAAUACCGCAUAAUGCAGCGGCACCGAAUGGUGAUUAGUUGUUAAAGCGGGGGACCUUAGGGCCUCGCGUCUGGAGAGGAGCCUGCGGCAGAUUAGCUUGUGGUAGGAAUGGCCUACCAAGGCUGCGAUCUGUAGCUGGUCUGAGAGGACGGCCAGCCACACUGGCACUGACACACGGGCCAGACCU
rnacentral:rRNA from 1 species